GUACGGGAGGCAGCAGCUAAGAAUCUUCCGCAAUGGGCGAAAGCCUGACGGAGCGACGCCGCGUGUAUGAUGAAGGCGGAAACGUUGUAAAGUACUUUUCUUGGGGAAGAAUCAGUGGGGGAGUGGAAAGCCCCCGCGAUGACAUUAACCGAGGAAUAAGCUCCGGCUAAUUACGUGCCAGCAGCCGCGGUAAUACGUAUGGAGCGAGCGUUGUUCGGAAUCAUUGGGCGUAAAGGGCGUGUAGGCGGUUUUGUAAGCCCGGUGUAAAAGGUAUUGGCUUAACCAAUAUUUUGCGCUGGGUACUGUAAGACUAGAGUCCUGGAGAGGAAGCUGGAAUUCCUGGUGUAGGGGUGAAAUCUGUAGAUAUCAGGAAGAACACCGAUGGCGGAGGCAAGCUUCUAGCCAUGGACUGACGCUGAGGCGCGAAAGCGUGGGGAGCAAACAGGAUUAGAUACCCUGGUAGG
rnacentral:rRNA from 1 species